UGCCCUUUUUGUAUUUUGCUGUUUUGCAACAGGGUCUCAUUCUAUUGUAGUCAUGCUGGUCUUGAACUUAUAGCAGUCCUCUUGUCUCAGCAUAUCAGUGCUGGGAUUACAUAUAUUAGCUACCACAUCAUGGCAUCCUAAAGCUUCUAGAAAGAUCUGUGUCCUCUGGCUUGAACUGAGCAAGAGUUUCUCUUUUUUCCAGAUGAAGCUAGUAGCUCAUAAUGAAAGUCAUUAUUCUUACCUAAGAUAAAAUAUUUAUUUCUAGGGACCAGAGAGGUGACAAAAUAACUCAUAGUGUUUGCUGCCCAGUCUUGAGGACUGGACUUCAAAUCCUAGUUCCCACAUCAAAUGGUUCUCAACCGCCUGUAAUUCCAACUCUUAAGUGGUCCAGCACCCUUUCCUAUCCUGUAUGGGCACCUGUGCAGACUUCUUUCUUCUUUAAAAAAAAAAAAAGGUCAUUUCUGGAAUAAGGUGACAUUAGAUUCUAACCCAAUUAGUAUUUCUUUGUUUUGUUCCCUCCUCCUAAGAUGGCUUUAGGAUUAAAUCAAACAAAUUGGUAUCAUCCAGGUAGUGGCAGCGCAUGCCUUUGAUCCCAGCACUCUGGAGGCAAGGGCAAGUGUAUCUCUGAGUUUAAGGCUAGCCUGGUGUACAGAGCAAGUUUCAGGACAACCAGGCCUACACAGAGAAACAAAACAAAACAAAAGGGAUUUAGGAUCUAUUUGGAUUCUGUUUCAUGAACUUGGCUUUUCUUUUGUCAAAAGGAACAUUAUGCACAUAAUGGUCCCUGCAAUUCUUCAAUUCUUGCUCUAUCUGUACCACUUUCUAGAGGGGCUGGAGAGAUGGCUCAGCGGUUAAGAGCACUGACUGCUCUUCUGAAGGUCUGAGUUUAAAUCCCAGCAACCACAUGGUGGCUCACAACCACCCAUAAUGAGAUCUGAUGCCCUCUUCUGGCGGGUCUGAAGACAGCUACAGUGUACUUACAUAUAAUAAAUAAAUAAAUAAAUAAAUAAAUCUUUUAAAAAAAUUUUAAGAAAAAAAAGACUAAAAAAAAAAUUUUUUUUUUUUAAAAGAAAGGAACCUAGAACUAACUGAGGCUUAAAUCAACCUGGUAGUUGAAUCAGAAUAUAGAUACCCCUAGUUUUAAGGAGACUGUUUAUCAGUAGUUUAGAAAUACUUGAUAAAAGUAAGAAUUACUCGUUAUUCAUUUUAUUUGACCUUCCUGGUUUUUAUCCUGGAUUAGUAUCAAAGUAGGAUCUUUAACAAACUAGACUAGAGAGAAGGAAGGAAUAGUUAAUGCCUUACAUGUGUUUCUUUCUUUCUUUUGAUAGUCUUGUCCUAGAACUCUUCUUAAAAACAACAAAAUCCCACCAAACC
rnacentral:lncRNA from 1 species